rnacentral:rRNA from 1 species
GGUUGACCUCGGAUCAGGUAGGGAUACCCGCUGAACUUAAGCAUAUCAAUAAGCGGAGGAAAAGAAACCAACAGGGAUUACCUCAGUAACGGCGAGUGAAGCGGUAACAGCUCAAAUUUGAAAGCUGGCUCUUUUAGGGUCCGCGUUGUAAUUUGUAGAAGAUGCUUCGGGUGUAGCUCCGGUCUAAGUUCCUUGGAACAGGACGUCAUAGAGGGUGAGAAUCCCGUAUGUGACUGGGUGCUUUCGCUCAUGUGAAGCUCUUUCGACGAGCCGAGUUGUUUGGGAAUGCAGCUCAAAAUGGGUGGUAAAUUUCAUCUAAAGCUAAAUAUUGGCCAGAGACCGAUAGCGCACAAGUAGAGUGACCGAAGGAUGAAAAGCACUUUGGAAAGAGAGUUAAACAGUACGUGAAAUUGUUGAAAGGGAAGCGCUUGCAACCAGACUUGCGCGCUGAUGAUCAUCCGGGCUUCUGUCCGGUGCACUCGUCUGCGCUCAGGCCAGCAUCGGUUUCGGUGGUGGGAUAAAGGCCUUGGGAAUGUAGCUCCUCUCGGGGAGUGUUAUAGCCCUCGGUGCAAUGCCGCCUACCGGGACCGAGGACCGCGCUUCGGCUAGGAUGCUGGCGUAAUGGUUGUAAGCGACCCGUCUUGAAACACGGACCAAGGAGUCUAACAUCUAUGCGAGUGUUUGGGUGUUAAACCCAUACGCGUAAUGAAAGUGAACGGAGGUGAGAACCCUUAAGGGUGCAUCAUCGACCGAUCCUGAUGUCUUCGGAUGGAUUUGAGUAAGAGCAUAGCUGUUGGGACCCGAAAGAUGGUGAACUAUGCGUGAAUAGGGUGAAGCCAGGGGAAAACUCUGGUGGAGGCUCGCAGCGGUUCUGACGUGCAAAUCGAUCGUCAAAAUUUGCGUAUAGGAGCGAAAGACUAAUCGAACCAUCUAGUAGCUGGUUCCUGCCCGAAU